GACGAACGCUGGCGGCGUGCUUAACACAUGCAAGUCGAACGGAAAGGCCCUGCUUUUGUGGGGUGCUCGAGUGGCGAACGGGUGAGUAACACGUGAGUAACCUGCCCUUGACUUUGGGAUAACUUCAGGAAACUGGGGCUAAUACCGGAUAGGAGCUCCUGCUGCAUGGUGGGGGUUGGAAAGUUUCGGCGGUUGGGGAUGGACUCGCGGCUUAUCAGCUUGUUGGUGGGGUAGUGGCUUACCAAGGCUUUGACGGGUAGCCGGCCUGAGAGGGUGACCGGCCACAUUAGGACUGAGAUACGGCCCAGACUCCUACGGGAGGCAGCAGUGGGGAAUAUUGCACAAUGGGCGGAAGCCUGAUGCAGCAACGCCGCGUGCGGGAUGACGGCCUUCGGGUUGUGAACCGCUUUCGCCUGUGACGAAGCGUGAGUGACGGUAAUGGGUAAAGAAGCACCGGCUAACUACGUG
rnacentral:rRNA from 1 species